rnacentral:misc_RNA from 1 species
GAUGAAGAACGCAGCGAAAUGCGAUAAGUAGUGUGAAUUGCAGAAUUCAGUGAAUCAUCGAAUCUUUGAACGCACAUUGCGCCCCUUGGUAUUCCAUGGGGCAUGCCUGUUCGAGCGUCAUUUGUACCUUCAAGCUUUGCUUGGUGUUGGGUGUUUGUCCCUCGGGACUCGCCUUAAAGUCAUUGGCAGCCAGUGUUUUGGUUUUGAAGCGCAGCACAAGUCGCGAUUCAAGGCUAUCCGCCCGCUUCCACAAGCCUUUUUCACUUUUGACCUCGGAUCAGGUAGGGAUACCCGCUGAACUUAAGCAUAUCAAUAACGGAGGA